UACGUAGGUGGCAAGCGUUGUUCGGAAUUAUUGGGCGUAAAGGGCGCGUAGGCGGCAUGUUAAGUCGGCUGUGAAAGCCUGGGGCUCAACCCCAGAGGGUCGGCCGAUACUGGCAAGCUAGAGUACGGAAGAGGUAGCUGGAAUUCCCGGUGUAGCGGUGAAAUGCGCAGAUAUCGGGAAGAACACCCGUGGCGAAGGCGGUUCUCUGGGACGGUACUGACGCUGAGACGCGAAAGCGUGGGGAGCGAACAGG
rnacentral:rRNA from 1 species